GCGCACGACUGCGUUACGUAUCUAGUCUAACUUUGACUGUUCAGUCAUCUAUCCGUAGAUCGCUGGCGUCCUUUGCAAGUUCAGGAUCUUACUCCGUGCUUGCAGUGGAGGAGACUCGUGCCGGCACUGAAAUGAGCCUCACAGCAGCUUACGAUUGAGAAAAAAGCGCUUGGAGUAAUUUUUGCCGGCACGUACAUGCGUGUUAAGUUGGUGGAUAAUCACAUGAGAUUGCCCGAGAGACCAAAUAGACGUCUAGCAAUGGCGGUUUGUGUGUGGACAUCGUGUUAUGUUCCGAUCGUGGUCGGUUGCAAGCUUUUUUUUUUCUAUGGUCAAUCUUUCCUUCCUAAAUCGAGUUUUGUGUAGGAAGGAACGGAAGUGUUAGCCAGAAUCACAAACAUCGGAGCGGGCGCGUGCAUGCGUGUAGCGGAGAAAAGUGCUCUUGCUGGAUUCUCGGAAUCUGCGCAAGAGAGGGACUCUUUACCUGGCCUAUCAUGGCUAUUCUAUUUCACGCCUUUCUGAAGAAUAUCUCACGUAUUGUGAUGGAGAUCCGUUUGCGACGCUGUCUUUCCAGAGCGUCUUUACCUCGUCUGGAGGCAUUCUUCGUUAGCUAGACCGCUACCAUUUUCUCUGGAACCGUGACGAAUGUACGAACGUAGAGCGGCGUGUACUAUAGGACACGCUUGCUUGUCAAAGAGCCCUCAAGAAGCGAGGAGGGAUGUUCUUGUCGCCAUUAUCCUUCACUGGUUGGAGUCCGGGAGUGAGCUUCAAAGAAUAUACUACCUUUCGAGCGACUCGAGGGAAAAGAACCUCGGCUUAUUUUCCUUAGUCUUCGGUGCCUCAUGGACUUUGAAUGAACCUCCUUUCCGACACGAACGUGGUGCCUCCAAAAAGCUAGUAUGAGGCGUCGCUGAGUUUCAGCGAUAAGAUACUGUAGGCACCGUUUUUACGUGAUGUCCAUUCAGGGGCGUAGUCCUGCACUGUUUCAGGUUCACCUUAAGGAAGGCGUCAGAUAACCCGAUCCAGCGUAUCGCUUUUAGUCUCUUCCUUUUAUCCCAAGUGUUGGAAGUGGGACUCAUUGGUUCGACCUGAGGGUUUUUGCAAGCGGAGC
rnacentral:lncRNA from 1 species